rnacentral:rRNA from 1 species
UGAGGGAUAUUGGUCAAUGGGGGAACCCUGAACCAGCAACGCCGCGUGAGGGAAGACGGUUUUCGGAUUGUAAACCUCUGUCCUCUGUGAAGAUAAUGACGGUAGCAGAGGAGGAAGCUCCGGCUAACUACGUGCC